rnacentral:rRNA from 1 species
AUGGGGCAGACCCACAGCCAAGCCAAGCCCAAACCGGAGGACAGGCACGCGACUCCACAGCCGCGCGCCGACGACCACCACCAGGAGCACCCAGAAGCCGCCACCGGGAGGCGCCCGCCGGCCGCGCCGGCCAUGGACACCUUCUUCCUGUCGCACGGCUCGCCGACGCUCUCCAUCGACGAGGCGAUCCCGGCGCGGAGCUUCUUCCAGUCGUGGCUGCCCGCGGCCGUCGCGGGCUCGGAGCGGCCGCGCGCCAUCCUGAUCGUGUCCGCCCACUGGGAGACGGCCACGCCGGCCGUCAUCGUCGUCCGCGGCGCCAACGACACCAUCCACGACUUCUACGGCUUCCCCAAGUCCAUGUACCAGCUCAAGUACCCUGCGCCGGGCGCCCCUGAUCUGGCCAAGCGGACCAAGGAGCUCCUGGAGCAAGGCGGGUUCGGGCCGGUGAAGGAGGACCGGAGCCGCGGGCUGGACCACGGCGCGUGGGUGCCGCUGAUGCUCAUGUACCCGGACGCCGACAUCCCGGUGUGCCAGCUCUCGGUGCAGCCCGACCGCGACGCCGCCUACCACUACAACCUCGGCAGGGCGCUGGCGCCGCUCAGGGAGGAGGGCGUCCUCGUCCUCGGCUCCGGCAGCGCCACCCACAACCUCCGCAAGAUGGGGCCUUCCGGCUCGCCGCCGCCGCAGUGGGCCUCCGACUUCGACACCUGGCUCAAGGACUCGCUUCUCGGCGGCAGGUACGACGACGUGAACCGGUACGAGGAGAAGGCGCCGAACGCCAAGACGGCUCACCCGCGGCCGGAGCACCUCUACCCGCUGCACGUCGCGCUCGGCGCCGCCGGCGACGAGUCCAAGGCGGAGCUGAUCCACAGUAGCUGGACAAACGCCUCCCUCUCGUACGCCUCGUAUCGUUUCACCGCCAAGAACUGA